rnacentral:rRNA from 1 species
GAUGAACGCUGGCGGCGUGCCUAAUACAUGCAAGUCGAGCGAACGGACGAGAAGCUUGCUUCUCUGAUGUUAGCGGCGGACGGGUGAGUAACACGUGGAUAACCUACCUAUAAGACUGGGAUAACUUCGGGAAACCGGAGCUAAUACCGGAUAAUAUUUUGAACCGCAUGGUUCAAAAGUGAAAGACGGUCUUGCUGUCACUUAUAGAUGGAUCCGCGCUGCAUUAGCUAGUUGGUAAGGUAACGGCUUACCAAGGCAACGAUGCAUAGCCGACCUGAGAGGGUGAUCGGCCACACUGGAACUGAGCCACGGUCCAGACUCCUACGGGAGGCAGCAGUAGGGAAUCUUCCGCAAUGGGCGAAAGCCUGACGGAGCAACGCCGCGUGAGUGAUGAAGGUCUUCGGAUCGUAAAACUCUGUUAUUAGGGAAGAACAUAUGCGUAAGUAACUGUGCACAUCUUGACGGUACCUAAUCAGAAAGCCACGGCUAACUACGUG